rnacentral:rRNA from 1 species
UACGAAGGGUGCAAGCGUUACUCGGAAUUACUGGGCGUAAAGGGUGCGUAGGUGGUUGUUUAAGUCUGUUGUGAAAGCCCCGGGCUCAACCUGGGAAUGGCAAUGGAUACUGGACAGCUAGAGUGCGGUAGAGGGUAGUGGAAUUCCCGGUGUAGCAGUGAAAUGCGUAGAGAUCGGGAGGAACACCAGUGGCGAAGGCGGCUACCUGGACCAGCAUUGACACUCAAGCACGAAAGCGUGGGGAGCAAACAGG